CCCAACUGUACAAAAUAGAUUCAGAUCUCUACUGGGUACUUUCAUAAAACUAAUGCUGAGCAUCAGCACAGGGCUUCAUCAAGAGCCAGAAUACCACUGAACUAACUCCUGUAUAAAUACAGAUUAAGAGGCCAGUCAUUGCCCUGGACCAUUUACAAAAUAGUUUCUCAGAAGAGUUUACAUCAGCAUUUUGAAGGAGGACAAUGAGAUUACUUGAAGUCAC